UGAGCCGAGGACAGAGACCGUGCAGGGUUUGCUGUUUGAUUUAACGAAGGCGCCAGUACAGCCCUCCACUGGCUCUGCUGCUGCUGCUGCCUGAGGCAGUCUCUCUCCUCCCCUCUGGUUCACAGGCAGCCAGGUGGGAAGGGACCCCAGCAUCUGACAGGCUCCUGAGGGGUGGAAAUGACUGGUAAUUAGCCGAGUUGUUCUGCAGUACUUGCUGAAGACAACGCACUUCACAGUCUCCGUGACCUCUGCAGCCUGUGUUUUGAGGGAAGGCUGGGCUAUUUGGAUACAGAUGCACGCACGCGGCAUGGCCCAAGAGUGGGUGCUAAUGUCAGAUGGCCACAACAGCAGAGAGCUGGUCCAGGCCGAAGUCGGGAGCCUAGAACUCCAUCCUGAUCUAUAGAUGCUUGGUGAUGGGAUCAAGCACUUGGGCCAUCUUCCACUGCACAUUAGCAGGAGCCAGGUUCUCACCCUCUGAUCUGCGGUGGUGGCAUCGCAAACUGCGGCUUAACUGGCUGCACCCCUGGGCUGACUCCCUUCCUGAACCAUUUGAAAACUGCAGGCUACUCAAUG